AGAAAACCAGGACUCGAACCUGCACUUAACAACUCAAAAUUGCUCGUACUUCAUUAUACUAUUUUCUA
rnacentral:tRNA from 1 species